CGGACGGGUGAGUAACGCGUGAGUAACCUGCCUUUCAGAGGGGGAUAACGUUCUGAAAAAGAACGCUAAUACCGCAUAACAUCAAUUUUAUCGCAUGAUAGGUUGAUCAAAGGAGCAAUCCGCUGGAAGAUGGACUCGCGUCCGAUUAGCCAGUUGGCGGGGUAACGGCCCACCAAAGCGACGAUCGGUAGCCGGACUGAGAGGUUGAACGGCCACAUUGGGACUGAGACACGGCCCAGACUCCUACGGGAGGCAGCAUG
rnacentral:rRNA from 1 species